rnacentral:rRNA from 1 species
AUUGAACGCUGGCGGCAGGCCUAACACAUGCAAGUCGAACGGUAACAGGAAACAGCUUGCUGUUUCGCUGACGAGUGGCGGACGGGUGAGUAAUGUCUGGGAAACUGCCUGAUGGAGGGGGAUAACUACUGGAAACGGUAGCUAAUACCGCAUAACGUCGCAAGACCAAAGAGGGGGACCCUCGGGCCUCUUGCCAUCGGAUGUGCCCAGAUGGGAUUAGCUUGUUGGUGGGGUAACGGCUCACCAAGGCGACGAUCCCUAGCUGGUCUGAGAGGAUGACCAGCCACACUGGAACUGAGACACGGUCCAGACUCCUACGGGAGGCAGCAGUGGGGAAUAUUGCACAAUGGGCGCAAGCCUGAUGCAGCCAUGCCGCGUGUAUGAAGAAGGCCGUCGGGUUGUAAAGUACUUUCAGCGGGGAGGAAGGGAGUAAAGUUAAUACCUUUGCUCAUUGACGUUACCCGCAGAAGAAGCACCGGCUAACUCCGUG